rnacentral:sRNA from 1 species
GGCUGCUGGGGAAAGUUCAGGCCCGGAGAUCUUCCCCCAAGCAAGUGGCCUUUCCGCUCAAGGUAGACAGGCUGGGGAGGAAGGAGGCAUACAUUCUGAAAGACUGGCCCACUCUGGGGAAGACUGGCAUGAGGAGAAAUGACUGAAGGCUCAGGGUGUCUAGAGUCCAGGAGCAGGCUGCUCCAGAAAACUGACAAGAAAUGUCUCUUGAUGCUGGGCUGGCAUCUCGGUAUGGUGGCGGAAACUUUACUGUGGCAACUGCCCAGAAGAGCAAUUUAUGGGCUCUGUGCCGUGCCUAAGCUUCCUGCAUCGCCAGUUUUGCCUCCUUACGGCUAUGGUGAUUGGUAUGUACUGUUAUUUGGAAUUGUCGUGGUAAGUACCUCCCCAGCUCAAUUCCACUCACACAACCACAGAUAACCAGGCCAAAACAGAAGUACCCAGGAGAUUCUUAACAUCCAAGGCCAAGAGCACCUCGCCGGGACGCCAUGUUUAAGCGAUUCAAGUGGCUGGUGGUGGUGGGCCACACUCAACUUAGCACUGGGACACUGAGGUAGCUCAGUCAUGGUGAAGCUGAAGCCAGCCUGGGUAUUUAGUGCGACCUUGUCUCAAAGUCCUCUCACCUCCACCCCAUCCCCACACAAACAGACCAAAGUAAAGAGAGUAUUCAGUCAGGGUACAUGGAUGGGUGUUUUCUGUGUUAAUUCUUAAAACACCAGACUCAUUUGUAAAUGUUUAAGUGUGCAACAUUUCCAAGAUUACUCUGCCAUUUCCUUUUGGAAGGAUUCCUGAAUUCACAUGCCCAGUGCCCCAGUUAAUCUGUGCCAGCUGCAUACACCUACCAAGGCUCAAAGCAUGCUGGGUCGACUCAGACCGCAGGCUUAUCACACUGGGUUCCAAGUCUUUGUUACUUGUCUGACUGUCCAAUUACACUGAGCUCCUCAAAGGCAGAGACUGUUCUGAUUCAGUCAGCAAAACAUAUUCAUUAUGAAGGAUCACUGAGUGGCUUUUGUUCUGUGGAAUCUGGGUAAGCACUCUCUUGCCUCAGAAAGAGAAUUGUGUCUAAUUGCUGACACUCAUAAGCAGCCAUAGGGUUCAAGUAGAGGAUCUGUGAGCCUCUUCAAGUAUGAUUAUGCCUUUCAGCUUUUGUUUAUUUAUUUUUAGUUCCUUCUGGUUCCUGACUCUUACCUUCAG